AGAGUUUGAUCCUGGCUCAGGAUGAACGUUGGCGGUGUGCCUAAUACAUGCAAGUCGAACGGAGUCAGUAGCAAUAUUGGCUCAGUGGCGAACGGGUGAGUAACGCGUUGGUGAUCUGCCUUGAAGUGUGGAAUAACGUUUCGAAAGAGACGCUAAUACCGCAUGUGCUCUCGAUUUUCAGAAAGUUGAGAGUAAAGGAUUUAUUCGCUUCAAGAGGAGCCUGCGUCCCAUCAGCUGGUUGGUAGGGUAACGGCCUACCAAGGCUAUGACGGGUAGGGGACCUGAGAGGGUGGCCCCCCACAAUGGAACUGAAACACGGUCCAUACACCUACGGGUGGCAGCAGUAGGGAAUAUUAGAAAUGGACGAAAGUCUGAUCUAGCAACACCGCGUGUGCGAAGAAGGCCUUCGGGGUCGUAAAGCACUUUUUUGGAAGGAAUAGGAAGGAAUGUACUUCCAGAAUAAGUCUCGGGCUAACUACGUGCCAGCAGCCGCCGGUAACACGUAGGAGGCAAACGUUUAUCCGGGAUUUUACUGGGCGUAAAGCGCGUGUGUAGGCCGGUAAGUGGGGCGUGAUAGCCCCUGGCUCUUUUGGGAGAGGCCGAACUGACAACAGAACUACAGUUGUGGAGUUGAGGAGGA
rnacentral:rRNA from 1 species